rnacentral:rRNA from 1 species
GAUGAACGCUGGCGGCGUGCCUAAUACAUGCAAGUCGAGCGAACAGACGAGGAGCUUGCUCCUCUGACGUUAGCGACGGACGGGUGAGUAACACGUGGAUAACCUACCUAUAAGACUGGGAUAACUUCGGGAAACCGGAGCUCAUACCGGAUAAUAUAUUGAACCGCAUGGUUCAAUAGUGAAAGACGGUUUUGCUCUCACUUAUAGAUGGAUCCGCGCCGCAUUAGCUAGUUGGUAAGGUAACGGCUUACCAAGGCGACGAUGCGUAGCCGACCUGAGAGGGUGAUCGGCCACACUGGAACUGAGACACGGUCCAGACUCCUACGGGAGGCAGCAGUAGGGAAUCUUCCGCAAUGGGCGAAAGCCUGACGGAGCAACGCCGCGUGAGUGAUGAAGGUCUUCGGAUCGUAAAACUCUGUUAUUAGGGAAGAACAAUUGUGUAAGUAACUAUGCACGUCUUGACGGUACCUAAUCAGAAAGCCACGGCUAACUACGUG